rnacentral:ncRNA from 1 species
AACUUGGCAAAAUAGCCAUGUAACUUCCGGAGAAGGGGUGCCUUCUCACAAAGGGGAUCGCAUUGACCAGGCUCAGGUGACUGUUUACCUAAAACACAGGUCUCUCUGCAAAGUUGUGAGACCAUGUGUGAGCGCUGACACCAGCCCAAUGCGGGAAGCUCAAGGAAGUUGGUGACCUGAUGAUGGGGGAGCCAACAACCGAAGCUCUGCUGAACGAUGGCUGUAACUAUAAUGGUCCUAAGGUAGCGAAAUUCCUUAACCUUUUUCGCAAAGAAAAAUAAAAAUCCGUAUCAGGUAAGUUCCGACCCGCAUGAAAGGCAUAAUGUUCUGGGCAUUU